rnacentral:rRNA from 1 species
CAGCACCUCAAGUGGUCAGGAUGAUUAUUGGGCCUAAAGCAUCCGUAGCCGGCGCUGUAAGUUUUCGGUUAAAUCUGUACGCUCAACGUACAGGCUGCCGGGAAUACUGCAGCGCUAGGGAGUGGGAGAGGUAGACGGUACUCGGUAGGAAGGGGUAAAAUCCUUUGAUCUAUUGAUGACCACCUGUGGCGAAGGCGGUCUAUCAGAACACGUCCGACGGUGAGGGAUGAAAGCUGGGGGAGCAAACCGGAUUAGAUACCCGAGUAGUCC